GUGAAAUUGUUGAAAGGGAAACGCUUGAAGUCAGUCACGUUGACUUGGAAUCAGCUCUGCUUUUGCUGGGUGUACUUUCUUGUCAAUGGGUCAGCAUCAAUUUUGACCAUUGGAUAAAGUCAUUGGGAAUGUAGCAUCUUUAGAUGUGUUAUAGCCUGGUGAUGCAUACGGUGGUUGGGAUUGAGGAAUUCAGCACGCCACCAGGCCGGGUUUCGACCACGUUCGUGCUUAGGAUGCUGGCAUAAUGGCUUUAAUUGACCCGUCUUGAAACACGGACCAAGGAGUCUAACAUAUCUGCGAGUGUUUGGGUGAAAACCCAUGUGCGUAAUGAAAGUGAAAGUUGAGAUCCCUUCUCAAGGGAGCAUCGACGCCCGGACCAGACCUUUUGUGACGGAUCCGCGGUAGAGCAUGUAUGUUGGGACCCGAAAGAUGGUGAACUAUGCCUGAAUAGGGUGAAGCCAGAGGAAACUCUGGUGGAGGCUCGUAGCGAUCCUGACGUGCAAAUCGAUCGUCAAAUUUGGGUAUAGGGGCGAAAGACUAAUCGAACCAUCUAGUAGCUGGUUCCUGCCGAAGUUUCCCUCAGGAUAGCAGAAACUCAUAUCAGAUUUAUGUGGUAAAGCGAAUGAUUAGAGGCCUUGGGGUUGAAACAACCUUAACCUAUUCUCAAACUUUAAAUAUGUAAGAACGAGCCGUCUCUUGACUGGACUGCUCGAUGAUUGAGAGUUUCUAGUGGCCAUUUUUUGGUAAGCAGAACUGGCGAUGCGGGAUGAACCGAACGCGAGGUUAAGGUGCCGGAAUUCACGCUCAUCAGACACCACAAAAGGUGUUGGUUCAUCUAAG
rnacentral:rRNA from 1 species